UUAGUCUAGAACUUUGUAGCCGGUCCUGCAAGUAAACCUCGAUAGGGAGGCAAGAGAUUGUUGCGAACAUGGCCUGAAAGUGAGACCCAAUGCAAUGAAGCUAGGUCCAAGAGGGGGUUCAGAGUGAACUCAGGGGUGUAGGCUGCGUAAACAUUGGGUCUGAGGCCCAAGCAAAUCCAAGCCAAAACAAUCAGCAUACACGUUCAAGUUCCAUAUUCUUUCAAAUUUCAAACUCAAGAACACCUUGCACAUGAAAUCUCCGUCUCCUCCGCGUCGGGAUUCACCACCGGCGGAGGAGAAUGUCUGAACCUUCGAACCCUUACAUCAGAACAUUGUAUCCUUUCCCUCUAUCACAAUAUCCUAUCAACUUCCCUUGAUUUUUCCUAGAACCCAAAUUGAAUGCAACAAUCUAUAAACCCUAAAAGAAAGAAACAGAAAUUAAACAAUGCAGAGGCUUUGAAAGGGAUCCAAACCUUAGGGGUUUGGUCCCUAUGGUAAAAGGCUACAUCAAGGUUAAGAGAAAGGAGAAAGAGGAAGAUCAAUGCAGAGCCUACCAUUGAGGCGGAGGCUGCCCCAGUUGUUGUUGUACUGAAGAAGUGAAAAUCAGAGAGAAAUCCAGAGAAAACUUCUAAGAGGAAUGUAUAUGUAUGAGAAAACUUGGCAUUUAUAUCAUGAACGCAUGGGCAAUACUUGGUGACUUGGAAAUCAAAUUGAAGAUGAAGAAAGACACAUGGUUUAGGGAUUAAACCUAGGCCGUUGACUUUGGUCAACAGUUUGAUCGAAAAGUCAACAGUUGACCUAAAGUCAACAUAGGUCAAAAUUAAGGUUUCCUUGAUGUAAUUUUGCAUGAACAUUGAAAUUGAUAUUUGAAGUGUAAUUGGAUGAUUUGUAAUGAAAUAGAUCUUUUGAAAUGAAUACGUAACUUUUGCUUCAA